AUCCAUAUGACGAGUCCUAAAUAGAGCGAAAUGCGCACCCUGGAU
rnacentral:hammerhead_ribozyme from 1 species